GCCUCCGAUCCUCACUGGACUCGGGACUUGCACCCUGCCCUGACACUGCAGCCACAUGAGGAGGUGGAGACAGGAGAAGUUAACACUGGAUCCCAGGAGCCAAGCCAAAGCAAUGGCGCAGGGCUCUCGUGUAGGGUGGAAUGGGUAAUUCUGAGGCUCAGGCCCAGAGGGAUAGGUAAAUGUAUAGGCGAGUGCUGACUGUUACUUUUCAUCCAUUGAAAUCUGCUUAAUUCAGGGCACUUCAGACUUCAUUGGAGGGUGUAAACAGUGCAACUGGAGUUUACCCCUGCAGUGUAGUAAGGGUGGGAUGUGCCUGUUACAGGAGGGCCCAGCAGCGAAUGGUAAUCGUUUGCUAUGGAAUUAUUUACUAGAUGUGUGUUUCCUCUUUAGAUAUUUAAAAAUCCAGUGCCCUAAGGACCUCGGGAGGGCUAAAAGGUGCAUCCUGUGAGCUUUAGCACUACAUAAAGAAUAACCCUGGGCUUAAAGGUGCCCUGCAAAGGACUUCCCAGUACAUCUGGCUUCUGGAUGAUGGAGAAGUUCUUCAGUGCUUGUUUUUACACUACAAAUACAGGUCUUGUCUGCCCUGGCAGAGUCUCUGGUGACUGGAGAACUAGUGGAAUGACACACUCACCAGACUCAAUGCAGUGAAACCUGAGUGGUUGGGAGAGUACAGAUUUUAGAUGUGGUUAAAUAAAGCUAUUAUUAUUUUUGAACCAUUCUUUAAUUUCCAUGACUAACUGACCGCCUGGGGGAGAGAGCUUUGUCUCACUCCUCACUUGUCAAAGAAGGCAGGAGGGCUCUUGCUAAAUGUGCUCUUGAUACAGCUCCAGGAUCUCCAGGUCAUCUCUAAGUGGCUGGAAUUCUACAUGCAUCUUGCAGCUGCUUUUCAGAUCAAGAUGGAGCAUUGCAUGCUGGGAUAUGUGCUCUGCGGAGGUCUUCACCUCUAACAGAGAUGGGGUUGGCUGCAAUCCUUUCCCUUUUAUGCAGUAUACUGGAAACCUUAGACUUCUGACAAGUAGCCAAUGCUGUCCUUAGUCAGACAAUUUGGAGACUCCUGCCUUAAAAGGACACAAUGAUUUCCUAUUUAAUUUGAUCCUGACAAAUUCCCUUACCUGUGAAUUAUCUGCAACUGUCAUUAAAGCAGGAAGAAAUAAUGCCAAACAUC